GAUGAACGCUGGCGGCGUGCCUAAUACAUGCAAGUCGAGCGAACGGACGAGAAGCUUGCUUCUCUGAUGUUAGCGGCGGACGGGUGAGUAACACGUUGAUAACCUACCUAUAAGACUGGGAUAACUUCGGGAAACCGGAGCUAAUACCGGAUAAUAUUUUGAACCGCAUGGUUCAAAAGUGAAAGACGGUCUUGCUGUCACUUAUAGAUGGAUCCGCGCUGCAUUAGCUAGUUGGUAAGGUAACGGCUUACCAAGGCAACGAUGCAUAGCCGACCUGAGAGGGUGAUCGGCCACACUGGAACUGAGACACGGUCCAGACUCCUACGGGAGGCAGCAGUAGGGAAUAUUCCGCAAUGGGCGAAAGCCUGACGGAGCAACGCCGCGUGAGUGAUGAAGGUCUUCGGAUCGUAAAACUCUGUUAUUAGGGAAGAACAUAUGUGUAAGUAACUGUGCACAUCUUGACGGUACCUAAUCAGAAAGCCACGGCUAACUACGUG
rnacentral:rRNA from 1 species